GAGGGUACAGCUCAGUGGUAGAGCACAUGCUUAGCAUGCAAGAGGUCCUGGGUUCAGUCCCCAGUACCUCCA
rnacentral:tRNA from 1 species